ensembl:snRNA U6 U6 spliceosomal RNA
GUGCUCGCUUCGGCAGCACACAUACCAAAAUUGGAAUAAUACAGAGAAGAUUAGCAUGGCCCCUGGGC